AUUGAACGCUGGCGGCAUGCCUAACACAUGCAAGUCGAACGGCAGCACAGGAGAGCUUGCUCUCUGGGUGGCGAGUGGCGGACGGGUGAGGAAUACAUCGGAAUCUACUCUGUCGUGGGGGAUAACGUAGGGAAACUUACGCUAAUACCGCAUACGACCUACGGGUGAAAGCAGGGGACCUUCGGGCCUUGCGCGAUUGAAUGAGCCGAUGUCGGAUUAGCUAGUUGGCGGGGUAAAGGCCCACCAAGGCGACGAUCCGUAGCUGGUCUGAGAGGAUGAGCAGCCACGCUGGAACUGAGACAGGGUCCAGACUCCUACGGGAGGCAGCAGUGGGAAAUAUUGGACAAUGGGCGCAAGCCUGAUCCAGCCAUACCGCGUGGGUGAAGAAGGCCUUCGGGUUGUAAAGCCCUUUUGUUGGGAAAGAAAUCCAGCUGGCUAAUACCCGGUUGGGAUGACGGUACCCAAAGAAUAAGCACCGGCUAACUUCGUGCCAGCCGCCGCGGUAA
rnacentral:rRNA from 1 species